rnacentral:rRNA from 1 species
CUACGGGCUGCUGCAGUGAGGAAUAUUGGUCAAUGGGCGCAAGCCUGAACCAGCCAUGCCGCGUGAAGGAUGACGGCCCUAUGGGUUGUAAACUUCUUUUAUACGGGAAGAAACGCCUCUACGUGUAGAGGUUUGACGGUACCGUACGAAUAAGCAUCGGCUAACUCCGUGCCAGCAGCCGCGGUAAUACGGAGGAUGCAAGCGUUAUCCGGAUUUAUUGGGUUUAAAGGGUACGUAGGCGGAAGAUUAAGUCAGUAGUGAGAUCCUGCAGCUUAACCUGUAGAACUGUUAUUGAUACUGGUUUUCUUGAAUGUAGUUGAGGUAGGCGGAAUAAGUAAUGUAGCGGUGAAAUGCUUAGAUAUUACUUAGAACACCGAUUGCGAAGGCAGCUUACUAAGCUAUGAUCGACGCUGAGGUACGAAAGCGUGGGGAGCGAACAGGAUUAGAUACCCGAGUAGUC